rnacentral:rRNA from 1 species
UCAAUCUCGUGCGGCUCUCAGCUCGCCGGUCCCUCUAAGAAGAGUUUGAUCGCGUCGCCGACAGCACCAAGGAUGUCGUUAUUUUUGCGACUAGUUAGCAGGCUAGAAUCUCGUUCGUUAU